CAGACCUCUAAUCGGAAAAGACCA
rnacentral:rRNA from 1 species